rnacentral:lncRNA from 1 species
AUUGAUUUCCCGACUCCUUGUUGAAUAUAGCGGAGAGCCAUUGCAUCUUUUCUUUUAACUUCUUUUUGCAAUUUUUCGUAAUCUUCAUUGUCUUCGGAUGGUUCUUCGUACUCCUCAUCGUCAAUGACAUCCCAAAGAUCUAAGGAGAUGAAGAAAGUUUGCAUUUGGAUGCUCCAGUAUUCAUAAUGCUCGCCUUCGAAAAUUGGGACUUGACUGGAAGAAUAUGUAAACAACGAAGCUGUUUGUAUGCAAGCCAUGAAAAAAUGCAAUCACAAGUUAUGGCUCUGAUACCAAAAUUUGUUAGUGCGGAAACGAAGUGUUGAAGAAAAACUUGAAUUUUUAUUGAUAGUUUUUGAGUUGCUACAGCACACUCAAUAAUGUUUU